rnacentral:rRNA from 1 species
UACGUAGGGCGCAAGCGUUGUCCGGAAUUAUUGGGCGUAAAGGGCUCGUAGGCGGCCAACUAAGUCGGACGUGAAAUCCCCAGGCUCAACCUGGGAACUGCGUCUGAUACUGGAUGGCUUGAAUCCGGGAGAGGGAUGCAGAAUUCCAGGUGUAGCGGUGAAAUGCGUAGAUAUCUGGAGGAAUACCGGUGGCGAAGGCGGCAUCCUGGACCGGCAUUGACGCUGAGGAGCGAAAGCGUGGGGAGCAAACAGG